rnacentral:rRNA from 1 species
GAUGAACGCUGGCGGCGUGCCUAAUACAUGCAAGUCGAGCGAACAGACGAGGAGCUUGCUCCUCUGACGUUAGCGGCGGACGGGUGAGUAACACGUGGAUAACCUACCUAUAAGACUGGGAUAACUUCGGGAAACCGGAGCUAAUACCGGAUAAUAUAUUGAACCGCAUGGUUCAAUAGUGAAAGACGGUUUUGCUGUCACUUAUAGAUGGAUCCGCGCCGCAUUAGCUAGUUGGUAAGGUAACGGCUUACCAAGGCAACGAUGCGUAGCCGACCUGAGAGGGGGAUCGGCCACCCUGGAACUGAGACACGUUCCAGACUCCUACGGGAGGCAGCAGUAGGGAAUCUUCCGCAAUGGGCGAAAGCCUGACGGAGCAACGCCGCGUGAGUGAUGAAGGUCUUCGGAUCGUAAAACUCUGUUAUUAGGGAAGAACAAAUGUGUAAGUAACUAUGCACGUCUGGACGGUACCUAAUCAGAAAGCCACGGCUAACUACGU